rnacentral:rRNA from 1 species
AUACGGAGGAUCCGAGCGUUAUCCGGAUUUAUUGGGUUUAAAGGGAGCGUAGGCGGACGCUUAAGUCAGUUGUGAAAGUUUGCGGCUCAACCGUAAAAUUGCAGUUGAUACUGGGCGUCUUGAGUACAGUAGAGGCAGGCGGAAUUCGUGGUGUAGCGGUGAAAUGCUUAGAUAUCACGAAGAACUCCGAUUGCGAAGGCAGCCUGCUGGACUGUAACUGACGCUGAUGCUCGAAAGUGUGGGUAUCAAACAGGAUUAGAUACCCUGGUAGUCCACACAGUAAACGAUGAAUACUCGCUGUUUGCGAUAUACAGUAAGCGGCCAAGCGAAAGCGUUAAGUAUUCCACCUGGGGAGUACGCCGGCAACGGUGAAACUCAAAGGAAUUGACGGGG